rnacentral:rRNA from 1 species
UACGUAGGGCGCAAGCGUUGUCCGGAAUUAUUGGGCGUAAAGAGCUCGUAGGCGGUCUGUUACGUCCGCUGUGAAAACCCAGGGCUUAACCCUGGGCUUGCAGUGGAUACGGGUAGACUAGAGGCAGGUAGGGGAGAAUGGAAUUCUCGGUGUAGCGGUGAAAUGCGUAGAUAUCGAGAGGAACACCUGCGGCGAAGGCGGGUUGCUGGGCCGACACUGACGCUGAUGCGCGAAAGCCAGGGGAGCGAACGGG